AAACACAGCCAUAUCACCCUGCAGCCGAAGACCGGUUACUCACUGAAGCUAAGGAGGGCUGAGCCUGGUUAGUACCUGGAUGGGAGACCACUAGGGAACACUAGGUUGCGGUUGGAA
rfam:Danio rerio chromosome 19, GRCz11 reference primary assembly.